AUCCAGCUGACGAGUCCCAAAUAGGAUAAAACGCUGGUCUUAGAU
rfam:Schistosoma mansoni strain Puerto Rico chromosome 1, complete genome